rnacentral:lncRNA from 1 species
AUGAGAUUUGAUAAUUUAUUUGUAGUGAAAGCUUGUUUUCUAGCCAUUCUUAUUGGUAACGAAAAAAACAUACCCUUUAUAACAAGUUCCCGACAUGGUGAUAAUAGCUGAGUAAUGCGUAUCGAGUUGGGUAGACCAAACGAGCUCACCAUUGCUACGGUUAAGCCCCAGAACAUAAGCGGGCCCGCAAAUCCCAAAGAUCAAAAGAUCAUCAGCAACAGUAGGGGUUGAUCUUGAAACAGUCCAGUUAACUCCUGAUGUGAAUCCUGUUGAAUUAAGCCCGGUUAGCUGUCCAAGAUUGUGUUGCCAAAUGACUGACCCGUCGGAUGCAUUAAGCGCGUAUAUGUUUCCAUUCCAACUUGGGAAAUAGAUGGUGUUGUUGUAUAUCGUUGGAGUCGCGGUUAUAUCUUUUCCGGCUACAAACUUCCAUUUCAACCUGAGGUUAGCCACAGUUUUAGGACUGAUUUUUGUUUCGCCAUACGCGUAUCUACGGUUUUGUAAAUCUCCACCAUGAUUUGUCCAAUCAGUUGACUAUAAACAAUAAACAAAUUAUCAAAAUGAUGGCGAAAAUGGUUGUCUAUGAAUCCUUAAAAUGAAACAUGAACACAUACCUUAGCUGAGGUUUGAAUAAAAAGGAACAACCAAAUGAAGAUGACAAAGUAGAGGCAAUUGGGUGCCAUUAAAAUGGUUGGUUUGUUUCCAAAACAGACUUGUAAUGUCUCUUUUAAAUAUAAUUUAUCCAAAUUUGGAAGUCAAUGUAAUGUUUCUUUCUUGUUAAACAAGUUUUAUCAUUUUAAAAUAUUGGAGAAUUG